UACAGAGGGUGCAAGCGUUGUUCGGAAUUAUUGGGCGUAAAGCGCAUGUAGGCGGUGGCGUAUGUCGGGUGUGAAAGCCCUCAGCUCAACUGAGGAAGUGCGCUCGAAACUGCGUCGCUAGAGUGUCGGAGAGGGUGGCGGAAUUCCCGGUGUAGAGGUGAAAUUCGUAGAUAUCGGGAGGAACACCAGUGGCGAAGGCGGCCACCUGGACGAACACUGACGCUGAGAUGCGAAAGCGUGGGUAGCAAACAGG
rnacentral:rRNA from 1 species